GACGAACGCUGGCGGCGUGCUUAACACAUGCAAGUCGAACGGAAAGGCCUGCUUUCCCUUGUGGAUUGCGGGUACUCGAGUGGCGAACGGGUGAGUAACACGUGAGUGAUCUGCCCCCAACUUGGGUAUAAGCCUGGGAAACUGGGUCUAAUUCCCGAUAGGACUGCAGGGUGGUGCCUGUGGUGGAAAACGAUUUUCUAGUGGUUGGGGAUGAGCUCGCGGACUAUCAGCUUGUUGGUGGGGUAAUGGCCUACCAAGGCGGCGACGGGUAGCCGGCCUGAGAGGGUGGACGGCCACAUUGGGACUGAGAUACGGCCCAGACGCCUACGGGAGGCAGCAGUGGGGAAUAUUGCACCAUGGGCGGAAGCCUGAUGCAGCGACGCCGCGUGGGGGAUGACGGCCUUCGGGUUGUAAACUCCUUUCGACCGCGAGGAAGCCACCUGGUUGGAAGGGUGGUGACGGUAGUGGUAGAAGAAGCACCGGCUAACUACGUG
rnacentral:rRNA from 1 species